rnacentral:rRNA from 1 species
GUAAUACGGAAGGUCCGGGCGUUAUCCGGAUUUAUUGGGUUUAAAGGGAGCGUAGGCCGGAGAUUAAGCGUGUUGUGAAAUGUAGAUGCUCAACGUCUGCACUGCAGCGCGAACUGGUUUCCUUGAGUACGCACAAAGUGGGCGGAAUUCGUGGUGUAGCGGUGAAAUGCUUAGAUAUCACGAAGAACUCCGAUUGCGAAGGCAGCUCACUGGAGCGCAACUGACGCUGAAGCUCGAAAGUGCGGGUAUCGAACAGGAUUAGAUACCCUGGUAGUCCGCACGGUAAACGAUGGAUGCCCGCUGUUGGUCUGAAUAGGUCAGCGGCCAAGCGAAAGCAUUAAGCAUCCCACCUGGGGAGUACGCCGGCAACGGUGCAACUCAAAU